AGCAAAAUUCACCCCAAGGACCUGGAGAAGAGAAAAACCUGCGACCAGCCCUAACUUUUGGGUCCUGACUAUGAGCCAACCUCAGGGACAGUCCAACACCAGUCCCAGCUGUGUGGUAUUUUGGAAAAUACUAUAAUACAGAAAAAGAAACAGACCCAAAACUUAACCACUAUCAACAUCUUCAUAUCAAGUUUUGUAUUCCUUUGUGUCCCACAUAAACGUAUGUGAAUAUC